AGUGAACGCUGGCGGUAGGCCUAACACAUGCAAGUCGAACGGCAGCACAGUAAGAGCUUGCUCUUACGGGUGGCGAGUGGCGGACGGGUGAGGAAUACAUCGGAAUCUACUUUUUCGUGGGGGAUAACGUAGGGAAACUUACGCUAAUACCGCAUACGACCUACGGGUGAAAGCAGGGGAUCUUCCGACCUUGCGCGAUUGAAUGAGCCGAUGUCGGAUUAGCUAGUUGGCGGGGUAAAGGCCCACCAAGGCGACGAUCCGUAGAUGGUCUGAGAGGAUGAUCAGGCACACUGGCGCUGAGACACGGUCCACAGACCUACGGGAGGCAGCAGUGGGGAAUAUUGGACAAUGAAGGCAAGCAUGAUCCAGCCAUACCGCGUGGGUGAAGAAGGCCUUCGGGUUGUAAAGACCUUUUGUUGGGAAAGAAAAGCAGCAGGUUAAUACGCCGCUGUUCUGACGGUAACCAAAGAAUAAGCACCGGCUAACUUCGUG
rnacentral:rRNA from 1 species